rnacentral:rRNA from 1 species
UCAGAGUGAACGCUGGCGGUAGGCCUAACACAUGCAAGUCGAACGGCAGCACAGGAGAGCUUGCUCUCUGGGUGGCGAGUGGCGGACGGGUGAGGAAUACAUCGGAAUCUACUUUUUCGUGGGGGAUAACGUAGGGAAACUUACGCUAAUACCGCAUACGACCUACGGGUGAAAGCAGGGGAUCUUCGGACCUUGCGCGAUUGAAUGAGCCGAUGUCGGAUUAGCUAGUUGGCGGGGUAAAGGCCCACCAAGGCGACGAUCCGUAGCUGGUCUGAGAGGAUGAUCAGCCACACUGGAACUGAGACACGGUCCAGACUCCUACGGGAGGCAGCAGUGGGGAAUAUUGGACAAUGGGCGCAAGCCUGAUCCAGCCAUACCGCGUGGGUGAAGAAGGCCUUCGGGUUGUAAAGCCCUUUUGUUGGGAAAGAAAUCCAGCUGGUUAAUACCCGGUUGGGAUGACGGUACCCAAAGAAUAAGCACCGGCUAACUUCGUGCCAGCAGCCGCGGUAAUACGAAGGGUGCAAGCGUUACUCGGAAUUACUGGGCGUAAAGCGUGCGUAGGUGGUCGUUUAAGUCCGUUGUGAAAGCCCUGGGCUCAACCUGGGAACUGCAGUGGAUACUGGGCGACUAGARUGUGGUAGAGGGUAGCGGAAUUCCUGGUGUAGCAGUGAAAUGCGUAGAGAUCAGGAGGAACAUCCAUGGCGAAGGCAGCUACCUGGACCA